rnacentral:rRNA from 1 species
UCGUGUCGUGAGAUGUUGGGUUAAGUCCCGCAACGAGCGCAACCCCUGUCCCAUGUUGCCAGCAUUAAGUUGGGGACUCAUGGGAGACUGCCGGCGUCAAGCCGGAGGAAGGUGGGGAUGACGUCAAGUCAUCAUGCCCCUUAUGUCUUGGGCUGCACACGUGCUACAAUGGCCGGUACAAUGGGCUGCGAUGGGGUGACCCGGAGCGAAUCCCACAAAACCGGCCCCAGUUCGGAUCGAAGGCUGCAACUCGCCUUCGUGAAGUCGGAGCUGCUAGUAAUCGCGGAUCAGCAUGCCGCGGUCGAAUACGUUCCCGGGCCUU